AUUGAACGCUGGCGGCAGGCCUAACACAUGCAAGUCGAACGGUAACAGGAAGAAGCUUGCUUCUUUGCUGACGAGUGGCGGACGGGUGAGUAAUGUCUGGGAAACUGCCUGAUGGCGGGGGAUAACUACUGGAAACGGUAGCUAAUACCGCAUAACGUCGCAAGACCAAAAAGGGGGACCUUCGGGCCUCUUGCCAUCGGAUGUGCCCAGAUGGGAUUAGCUAGUAGGUGGGGUAACGGCUCACCUAGGCGACGAUCCCUAGCUGGUCUGAGAGGAUGACCAGCCACACUGGAACUGAGACACGGUCCAGACUCCUACGGGAGGCAGCAGUGGGGAAUAUUGCACAAUGGGCGCAAGCCUGAUGCAGCCAUGCCGCGUGUAUGAAGAAGGCCUUCGGGUUGUAAAGUACUUUCAGCGGGGAGGAAGGGAGUAAAGUUAAUACCUUUGCUCAUUGACGUUACCCGCAGAAGAAGCACCGGCUAACUCCGUG
rnacentral:rRNA from 1 species